AAGAUAUUCUGCAUUAGUUCACUUAUAACUUAUGUGCUAAUAUUUUGUGGCACCUAUAUUUUGACGUGCACCCAGGUUGCUUAGGAGUAUGUUGUAAGGUUUCACUGCCAUACAACAAUAGUUUCAAUUUGAUUUUAUAGAACUUCAUUACAUGUCCUCAACAAAAUAUACUGUAUCAUCUCAACUAAACACAACAAAUAUGACUACAGAAUAAGAGUUUGGCUAAUCAAGUUCUGGUGGGAUGUAACUAGGGCUGUAGAAGAAUCACCUGCUUCAACAUAAUAGUGGUGGAUAACAAGUUAAGUUAAUACAAACUACCAGAGCAGAGCACAUAGAAGUCUCUGACUGUCGGGUAAAUUUUUUUUAUUAACUUGGGAAUUUACUCACACAUUCAUGCACUAACAACGAAUUACAAGGUUAUUCAAUUUGGAUGAAACUCAAGGAUCUACAGAUAGAAUUGUGGGAACAUAGUAAGUCUUCUGACCAAAUUGUAGCAUAAGAAUUAAAUAUAAUAGUAACAAUAGUAUAUACCUUUGCGGAUAUAUGGCACCUAAGUAUGUAAUGCAUGAACAUUUCUCGGUUAAGUUUGAAGUAUUUAGUUUUGGAAAUGUAGAUGAUAUUGCAGACCUUGCAAGUUGUGGAAGUUUUAGUUUUCACAGAGUUCAUGCAUCGAUUUCUUAUACUGAAUGCAUUCAGUUAGCAUACUUGAUCACAUUCAUAAUAUAAUGCAUCAUUUGUAUCUGAUUAAACUUAUGUUUCUCAUGCCCAGAAGAAUUGGCAAAAAGGGACUGCAACACUAAUAUUAUCGAUCCAGUACUGAGAAAUAAUCCAACAUCAAUACGCGAAAUGAUAAGAUGUAUUAACAUGGGGUUACUAUGUGUGCAAGAAAAUGUUACAAACAGACCUGCCAUGACUUCUGUGAUACUUAUGCUUAACAGUUUUCUCUCACUCUGCAGGUGCCUUCCAAGCCUGCCUUCUUUGUACCAAGUAACGUUGAUCCAGAACUACCAUUGCUUACACAUGAUCCCAACUCAAGAGUUAGUGGCAAAUCCGAUUAUUAUGUCAUUCAUCCAUUGACAAUGCUUCAAUCACCGAUACAUAUCCACGACGAUUAAUAGUUAAUUACUAUCUAUAUUACAUUGCUUUGCUGCUUUCUACUGUGAUUUGUGUGCAAGGAUAGUUCCUCAUGCCGAGAAAAGAUUUAGGCUUCAUGUGGUGGCUUACGAUCAAACUGGAAAAUUGGAUGUUAUAAUCAGUGAUCGUGAGGUUUACGAGCCUCAUAGGUUCAUAGGUUACAGAGCCAGAGAUGUUAUACCGGAGGGAGCUCUUCCGGCUUUCUUUCCAAAUCAGUUGAGGCAGUUUACAGACAAACAUUCACAAUCAUGCUGCAAAUUUGUGAUGAGAACGUUAAGAAGAAUGUUAAAUUGUACUCAGUAAGAAACAUCUGCAUGUGAUUCAAACGGGACAACACAGUGAACUCAGGAAAAACAGAAGAACAAAGGGCAUCUACCAGGUGUUGCCCAACUGAAACAACAACAUCGUACUAUCAUCUUCAAGGCGCUACAGAAGACAACUUAGACUCAUCAACCGUUACUCAGAAACAGUAAAAUGGCUGCAAAACUCUUUUGCUCUGUCCAUGAGUACAUGGGUGUAAUUUUAUUUGUGUCUGCACUAACAAACAACAGUCUGUAAUUUUAUCCAAAUAUGUAUUUGGAUUAACUUAUGUUAUCUUUUGUUAUCAGA